GGGGGUGUAGCUCAGUUGGUAGAGUGCUGGCUUUGCACGCACAGGGCCCUGGGUUUAACCCCCAGCACCACUA
rnacentral:tRNA from 1 species